UACGUAGGGUGCGAGCGUUGUCCGGAAUUAUUGGGCGUAAAGGGCUCGUAGGCGGUCUGUCGCGUCGGGAGUGAAAACUCAGGGCUUAACCCUGAGCCUGCUUCCGAUACGGGCAGACUAGAGGUAUGCAGGGGAGAACGGAAUUCCUGGUGUAGCGGUGGAAUGCGCAGAUAUCAGGAGGAACACCGGUGGCGAAGGCGGUUCUCUGGGCAUUACCUGACGCUGAGGAGCGAAAGUGUGGGGAACGAACAGG
rnacentral:rRNA from 1 species